AGUUAUUUAGCUUAUAAAAAGCAUAUAUCUUGAAAAUAUAAGAAAGAGAAAUUUAAUAACUU
rnacentral:tRNA from 1 species